rnacentral:rRNA from 1 species
GAUGAACGCUAGCGGCAGGCUUAAUACAUGCAAGUCGAGGGACAGCACAGGUAGCAAUACUGGGUGGUAACCGGCAAACGGGUGCGGAACACGUACACAACCUUCCUUUAAGUGGGGGAUAGCCCAGAGAAAUUUGGAUUAAUACCCCGUAAUAUAGUUGAAUGGCAUCAUUUGAUUAUUAUAGCUACGGCGCUUAAUGAUGGGUGUGCGGCUGAUUAGAUAGUUGGCGGGGUAACGGCCCACCAAGUCUACGAUCAGUAGCUGAUGUGAGAGCAGGACCAGCCACACGGGCACUGAGACACGGGCCCGACUCCGACGGGAGGCAGCAGUAAGGAAUAUUGGUUAAUGGACGCAAGUCUGAACCAGCCAUGCCGCGUGAAGGAUUAAGGUCCUCUGGAUUGUAAACUUCUUUUAUUUGGGACGAAAAAGGGCCUUUCUAGGUCAACUGACGGUACCUGAGUAAUAGCACCGGCUAACUCCGUGCCAGCCGCCGCCGUAACAC